ACGAAAAUAAAGGGACAAAACGGGACCAAACCAUCCCAGCCGUUGGAUCUUAAUUCAGUUGAUCUAAUGGAUAGAAUAGCAAACCAUUAAAACAUUUUCUUUUAACCCAUUAUCCAAUCCAGUUUAGUCUCAACCAAGACUCCACGUUCAAUCUUUGGGUUAUUCCUCCUCCCUCGUCUCAACUCUCUAUCCUCCCUCAGAGCCUCCCAUAUACCAGCAAUGAAAUCAUCCUCAUCAUCAUAAGACUGGUCUAUCUUGAAAGUCAGGGUACAGUUCCUGUCUGCUGAAGGCAAAACCCUUGCCAGUUUGAGCCAUCCAUGCAUGUUAUAUUUUAAAAGUGAGCCAUCCGUGCAGAAUACAAUCCUAGCGCUGGUAUUCCCUAAAUAUACGAUGCAUCCAUGACCCUUGAAUCAGAACUUCCCCUGUUUAAAAGGAUUAUAUGGAACUGGAGGAGAACUUUAUUUGUUUGCUGUAAAAGUAGGAGAGAUACUAAUUCAACCAGUUACUUGAACAAGUUGAUUAGUUAGCUUAAAUUCUUUUCUGAUAUUUGUGUUGGAUGUACCUGUUGGGAAAUAUGAAAUUCUUAUUAAAUUGAUCGUCUUAUCCUGAUUAGAUGAAACUUGAUAGUUUGUACUGAGGAGAAGAAAUAAUAAAGUUUGUUUUUGUAGUU